GAACCACAGGGCUGUGGGCUCUGCCAGGGGCAUCGACAUCCCGGAGCUGCUGCUCUGCUUCGUAUUUGAAGAAGAGGAACGCCCAGAUGCGUCCUCCUAGCUUUCUCCUUGGAGUUGUUGCUAGAGUGAGGAGUUCGUGUUUGUGAGGGAAAGAAGGGUUUUCUUUCUGGAAGUUCCUACUUCCAGAAACUAGUCUUCCUACCCUGAAGGUAUGGAUGGGAGGAAGAUUAGGAUUAUGUGAAAGGGAUCCAGAUGUGAUGGAAGCUGGUGGCUUCUAGGCAGAAUGGCUUAACUGUGGUCAAGGAUUCUGAGCCCCAAACAGGCACAUGGUCCCUUAAGGCGAAAGCCCCGUUCUUAAUAGCAGGACUUGUGGGAAGGAGAACUCCUGUCUGCUGCUUCGUUGUCGUAUUCUAUUGACUUCCAAACUUUUUUGACUCUGACCUGCCAUGUGGAAUUAUAUUUACAUCACAACCAGCACGUUCGAACCAAAGGAAGCCAGAGUUGAAGCCAGAGUUUCCUGAAAUAGUAUCGAAUCCCCUCUGUACCUUUUUCUUAAUGUCCAUCGCACAUAUUGCUUGACUCAUAAUUAGGACUCCUAUACAUACAUAGUUGGAAAAAUACUUUUUUUUUUUUUUAAAGCAAAACCCUUAAUGUUAGACAAAAAAAAAAUUCUUUUUAGCUAACCGUAUUUCCUGUGGUGUACCUCUUCCUGCAAAGGUAAAUAGAGACAAGUUUAAAAGUCACUUAAGUGUAAGAAUUGGAAAGGAGACAUUGGUGGCCUCACUGCAUAAUGCUAGCUGUCUGGUGAUAUAGUCUAGGGAAAGGAGGGGAAAAGAAAACCCCACAAUAAUCACAGGUAGAGCUGAAAAUAUAGAUUGUUGGUCAUUCACUAUCAUUGAUCAGUUAUUGGUAUCCAUCAGUUGGUCAUUAGUAUUGAUCAAUUCAUAAAAGCCCCCAAAGACCUUGCAUGGGUUUCCAUUCACAGCCGGUGUCUGUCUGUCUGUCUGUCUGUCUGUCUCUCUGUGUGACACAGAGAGAGAGAAGAUGGUUUUAAGACUAAGGACAGAGCUGUCACUAAUACUGUGACAUUCGUGCAGGCAUUUUACUGUAAUCCUGUUUGAUUUAAUUCUAACUACUCGGUAAUUUGCUGAUUAUUUAUACUUUGUUCAUGGGGAAAGGCACCAAGGAUCCAAGGAUGGUUACAUUUUUUUGAAUUAACUGCCAGGAUCUACUUGACUCCUAACCAGAUAUCUUUCUAGCACGCUCUGCUGCCUGAACCUUUGCCCCUCACCUUGCCUCAUCACUUCCCUAGGGAUCUGGGGAGAGGAAGAUGUGUGCACCUGGGUGAGCAUUAAGAACUUGGUUUAGUUGUGGCAAGAAAUCGGCUGUUUCCUGUCCAUCUCUUUUCCUUUUAUCUAGUCCAGCCCUAUAAACGGCUCCUCUCAUCCUAUGAAAUAGGCUGGUAGUUCUUGUGUAAACUAAAGUCAUAUAGCAUAUCUCUUAGAAGUAGCAGAGGAGUGAAUGAAGGCUGCUGAGAUAGGCUGGGUCACAAACCUCAGCACCAGGGCAGAGGAAAGAGCACCAUUGUGCCCAUGUGUAUGGAGGUUGAGGAAGGACAGUUUGGAGAGGUGAGGGAAACCCACUUCGUCCCCCGCAAGCUGCAGGAUUCACGGUGCCCAGAAUUGUGUCUCUUUGUUUUAACUAGGAUCUUGUCUACUCUCCUGAGUCCCAGCUGCCAUAUGUUCCUAAUUAAUAUUGGGCCACCCAGGCAAGUUCCUCAGCCUGCAUUACCAGAAGUAGUCAAGUAGAUACUUCUGCUGUACCCAAAUCAGAGCGGGGCUCAUUUGUCUCACUCUGGUCCGCAGUCGGAUCACUUGCCCAUGUCUUUCCUGCCUCUCUCUUCAGUUUGCAUUUUUAGGAGCUAAUCCACUCCAACCACUGUCCAGGCAGUGGACAUUUCACGUGUCCUCUCACCCAAUAUGGGUUACUUAUGGCAUAUGUACAAGUCAGUGUGUAAGAGCAUACCUUAUGGAUGUAUGUGGAGAACAGGAUCAGGAGGAGAGAGUCCCUAGCAGUGGUUUGUCUGUCUGGCAGUGGAUGGAAGAGGGUAAAUUAGUUACUUUCGUAGCUUCUGUGACAAAAUUCCAGACAAGAGCCUCUUAAGGAAGGAGGGGUUUGGCUUGCGCUUUAAGGAGAUCCAGUCCAUGAGGACAGGAAAGACAUGGUCCUGCUAGUGUGAGGUGGUGGAUGAUAUCACAUGAACAGGAAGUGGAGGAGGAUGAACGCUGGCACCCAGCUUGCUUCCUCACCCUUUUCCUUUUCCUGCAGCCCAGGACUCCUGCUCAUGGAAUGAUGCUGCCCCCAUUCAGAGUGGGUCUUCCCUCCUCAGUCAGACCUUCGCAGAAACACCCUGGCAGACGCACCCAGGGGUGUGCUUCUAAGGUGAUCGAAAAUCCAGUGAAGUGGACAGUUAAGGACUGACCAUCACAAGGCAGAAGGCAUAUGAGGGAGGGGUGGAUCCCUGGUAGAACUUGAGUGCUUUAUUAGGAUGGGGAUCAGCGAUCCUCUGAUGAAUGGAAUUCGUUCGCACUUUUAAACAUAAGCUUUGGAAUGCUUCUUCGGGCAUCUGUCAGAAAAAAAAAUCAGAGGGGAAAGUAGAGACAUGGUUAUUUCUUCUGGGUUCCUGGCUCAUUGCUUGAAACUUACGGUUGUUUGGCCUACAAAGGACACGGAGAGCAAGGGCUUCAGGUUCAAGCUUCCAGCUACUGCCCACAUUAUGCAAACACCUCUUGAUCUGUCUGAAUGCCGCCAACUAUCUGUCAAAUGGGAAUAUUUGCAAUCAGUCACACCUACAGCCAGGUAUGGUGUUGCAUGACCAAAAUUCAGAGUUCAAGGCUACUCUGGGCUAUAUAACAACCUAUUUAAAAAAAAAAAUAACCCACGCACUCUAGUUCUCAUUUUAAACUUUGUAGAUUCCCUGUCCAGUCAUGGAAAUACAAGCAGAGCGGGUGGAAAGGUAUUGUGAGAUUAGGGCUAGGUCUGGUGCCCAAGUAAGUCGUAACUUGGAGUGCUGCCCAGCUCAUCUGACUCCUUGCAGAAAUGGGAGGGGCUCGACAGUGGAAAGCAAGUUCUGGAAAUGGACAGUAAGUCCUAAGAAUGACCCACUCACGGGGUGGGAAAGGGGAAGUCAAUUCUCAGAGGCGAUCGGAAAGUCAGAGGAGAGUUAACUCUGCCACUGCCCUUUCUCUGUGUUUUCCAUCACCUGUCAGUGGUUGAUUAGAAUACAGUUGUGGUUAUUGAUUAAUGCCACAUUGGCAGACACGUUCCUGAGCUGUUGGUGAUUCACCUGCUUUGUGGUUUUCAGGCUGAAAGUUUGUGGCCAUCUGUUGUGAAUUUAGUUUCUUCUCUUGAAGAUCUACAGAGAGAAAUGUAAGGGUGGUGGCUACAAUGUCUACCACUUAACUGUGUGCCUGCUGGGUCUUAGGACCUCUACUGUGGGGUUCAAGGAGCAUGCCUCUGAUCCUCCCCAACCGUCCACACAAGAGGAAAAUAGACAUUUAGAGCUGUGACGUACACCAGAGUGAGUGUGAGUGGCCUGUGACUAGAAGGUUUUUUUCUCCUGUGUAAAAUUAGUGCAUUGGAAUUCAGCCGUAGGCUGACAUAUGGCUACCUCGAAACUGCCAGGAUUAUCUUCUCCCCGAUUCGGAACUCUCCAUUCUGUCACUGGCUCUUGUUUUGGUUGUGUUCUCAUCUAGGGCAAUGUAAGAUUACAUCAAAAUACGUAAGACCCAAA